UACGAGAGGCCCAAACAUUAUUCGGAAUUACUGGGCUUAAAGGGUUCGUAGGCGGCAUGGAAAGUAGGGUGUGAAAUCCCUCGGCUCAACCGAGGAACUGCGCCCAAAACUACCGUGCUCGAGGGAGAUAGAGGUGAGCGGAACUUAGGGUGGAGCGGUGAAAUGCGUUGAUAUCCUAAGGAACACCGGUGGCGAAAGCGGCUCACUGGAUCUCUUCUGACGCUGAGGCACGAAAGCUAGGGUAGCGAACGGG
rnacentral:rRNA from 1 species